rnacentral:rRNA from 1 species
UAGUCAUAUGCUUGUCUCAAAGAUUAAGCCAUGCAUGUCUAAGUAUACGCAAAUUAUACUGUGAAACUGCGAAUGGCUCAUUAAAUCAGUUAUAGUUUAUUUGAUGUUUCUUGCUACAUGGAUAACUGUGGUAAUUCUAGAGCUAAUACAUGCGUAAAAAGCCCCGACUUCUGGAAGGGGUGUAUUUAUUAGAUAAAAACCAUCCUCCUCGGAGUUUGGUGAUUCAUAAUAACUUCUCGAAUCGCACGGCCUUGUGCUGGCGAUGCUUCAUUCAAAUAUCUGCCCUAUCAACUGUCGAUGGUAGGAUAGAGGCCUACCAUGGUUGCAACGGGUAACGGGGAAUAAGGGUUCGAUUCCGGAGAGGGAGCCUGAGAAACGGCUACCACAUCCAAGGAAGGCAGCAGGCGCGCA